rnacentral:misc_RNA from 1 species
GAUGAAGAACGCAGCGAAAUGCGAUAAGUAAUGCGAAUUGCAGAAUCCGUGAGUCAUCGAAUCUUUGAACGCAAAUUGCGCCCCUUGGUUAUUCCGAAGGGCAUGCCUGUUCGAGCGUCAUUAUCACCCCUCAAGCCCUGGCUUGGUGUUGGACUUUAGUUAUAGCUUUGCCUAUCAACUGGUCUCAAAGAUAGUGACGGCGCCCCAGAGGGAACCGGGUACGAGGAGCUUUUUACUAAGCAUGUAUCUGGGACGACUCUGGGCGACGGUCUUGUUAUACUUUUUACCUAAGUGUUGACCUCGGAUCAGGUAGGAAUACCCGCUGAACUUAAGCAUAUCAAUAAGCGGAGGA